rnacentral:rRNA from 1 species
AUGAAUGAUGACUUUUGGGAAAGUCAGCAUUCAAAUUAUCCACUCUUCACCCCGCUACAACAAAUUCCUCAGUCCCCUGCACCAACAGUUCAAAUGGGCUCUGAAGAAACUCAUCCCACCUCGUCUGUGCGUGAAGACAUUCCAGCCACUAGUGCUGAAGAAACUGCUGCUGCUGAUCAUGUGACAACACAGACUGCACCUGAAGAGGAACCAGAAAUUCCUCAGACUGAUGAACCUGAGAUUGCGAUUCCUGAGGUCGUGAUGCAACUCACUAACACUCCUCUGCCAAAGCCAAAGGAUCCGUUCUCAAGGAAGCAAAAAUUCAAGGCUGAAGACUUCUUUGGCGAGCAUGUAUUCUUCACAGAUUACAACCCCUAUGACUCUGCUAGCAUAAGGAAGAGACAUUUUUGGACUGCUAGUCAAGCAAAUUUCUAUUCCAUAGUGCUGUUUAACAAAGACAAAGUCUUCGAUCAUGCACAUAUUCCUCACGCGGACAUGGAGUCUCUGCCGUGCUUCGAGCCAGUCCUCAGUGUUCUUCAUGAUGCUGGGCUGCUAAACUUCUGCACUGACAUCUGUGAUUGGAAUGAAGAACUCAUUCUUCAGUUCUAUGCAACGCUGCAGAUCACAGGAGAUUCUAAAGAUGUGAACUCAUGGGUACUGGACUGGAUGAAAGAAAAUACUCAUUACAAGGCACCAGCUUCUGAAUUGCUUCGUGCCCUACCACUCAGUCCUCCCCUUGAAGGUGCACGUUGUGUCUAUAGUGAACAUGAGCUUACAAAUCACUACAUGCAAGUUUUGAUGAAGCCUUGA